UUAAAGUUACUUUUUCAAAGUAACUAUGCCAUCACAGGUUUUGGCCAGAGCGGGGCUGAAGGUGGAGUUCAUUUAACAGUUCACGAGGGUGGGGGGGCGCAGCAGGCAUUGUGCUAUUUGGAGGGGGGCUCACCCUUACAUACUUUGAAAACCCUUGCUGUAAGCUAUCCAUCGAAGUAAUAUAUUUAAGAUGUAUUCAUGCAACCUGUGUGCUGAAACAGUUAAAUCUGUUAUAGCCUUUGUUCUCCAUUGCAGACUGCAUCGCAACGAACCGAGGCCUGUGUUCAAGUGUGUUGCAGCCGGUUGCAAGCAGAGUGAAAAUCCAGCUAUCAUUGGACCAGAGCGGACUCCAGAAACGUAUCAAUCUGCCACUGAACAGCUGGAAAGAGAGGAUGUGACAGAAGUACAGGGGAUUAAGUUCAGGGUCCUCUUGCUUCACUGCGGACUGCUUCAUGUUGAGUAUUGAUCAGAAGAUUAUCAAUGACCACAUCACUGCCUUCUCCUGUGCCAUCUGCCUGAUGUUUGGCAGUUACUACUGUUUUAAUAUACACGACCCAGUGGAACUGCGGUCAACACUGGAGUUCCUCCAAAGGUGUUUCUUUUCAAUUAAUCCGGAGAGAGGAACAAAAGUUGAGCAUAGCAAGAGGAUGAAGAUCUUGGCGGUCAACCCAAGAGUCCUCACACUCAUCGCUGACCUCGCAGACCAUGAGUGGACUUAGACCAUACUUUGUGAGUUAUGUGAUAUGAUGUGUAAUGUUGUUAUGUUGCGGUAUGUAAAACUACAUUUACACUGUAAGAUUUCACAUUUUUCAUCUUCAUGUUAAAUCUUGCAAAUUUAUGUUAGACAUUUUUUUCUAUAUAUGUAUGUAGCAGAUGACAAUAAAACAGAUUUUAUGCUGCACCACUGUCAUGGCUUAAUGAAUAUGUGGUGAUUUACAAGUUACAAGUCAAAAAACGUGAACAGUUUUAGCUAUCUAUUUCAGAAAGGUUACAGUGGUGCCCAGCACAUUUGUUAGAAAGUUCUUAUUUCUGUGUAUGUGCCAAUUCCAUAUGAUAUGGAUUAUUCAUUUUAAACACACUGCACCAGGGUUGAAGUGAUAAUGUUGUGUCAUAUCUGUUCAAACUUUUGCACCAAUAUAAGUGCUUGCUGCUUUUUUGAAGAUGUGUUACAAGUUCUUUGUAAUCAGUGUUCACAGGGUUGUGAGAAGUUUGUACAGCCCAAAAAGUUUUCAUUAAAUGGAAAAAAUACAAUGAAGUUUGGUUUUUGGAUAUUUUAUGUAAAAUUUACUUAUACUUUUCCAUGUUUUUACCAUUAGACAAAACUGGUAACACAUUAUUUAGCUGCUCUAAUCGAUUUGAUGAUUUUACCAAGUAAAUUAGCACUUUUUAAUUUCAUAAUUUGCACUAACUAAACAUUUCUUUAAUGUUUCAAUGUUAAUUUUUAGCCAAAAAGUGAGAUCUUUGUAGUUUUUUUUUCUUAGUUUUAUAUAACAUUAUGGUUUCAAAGUCAGUAAUUAACCAUAAAAUCAGCAAUACUAUUGCUCUUUUACCAUUGAAGAAAAGGAUAAAUAUCCUACAUUUGUACAGUUUUUUUCCCUUUGAAAAAUAAAGACAAAACAUGUAUUAAUACAGUAAUUUAGGGAAAUGUUAGCAUGGUAAAACUGUUAAUUUACAGUAAAAUUAUUUCAAAUUUCAUGGCAUGAACUGCAUCUUAUAUAUCAAUUUUAGGACAAAAUAUCAUUUUUUAUAAUGGUAAUAAUAGUAAUUUUUACAGUAAAAGGUUAAAAAAAUA